UACGUAGGGUGCGAGCGUUGUCCGGAAUUAUUGGGCGUAAAGGGCUCGUAGGCGGUCUGUUGCGUCGGGAGUGAAAACUCAGGGCUUAACCCUGAGCCUGCUUCCGAUACGGGCAGACUAGAGGUAUGCAGGGGAGAACGGAAUUCCUGGUGUAGCGGUGAAAUGCGUAGAUAUCAGGAGGAACACCGGUGGCGAAGGCGGGUCUCUGGGCCGAAACUGACGCUGAGGAGCGAAAGCGUGGGGAGCAAACAGG
rnacentral:rRNA from 1 species